ensembl:snRNA U6 U6 spliceosomal RNA
AUGCUCACUUCGGCAGCACAUAUACUAAAGUUGGAACAAUACAAAGAAGAUUAGCAUGGUUCCUGUGCAAGGAUGACGCGCAAAUUCAUGACACGUUCCAUAUUUAA